rnacentral:rRNA from 1 species
GCUCAGAUUGAACGCUGGCGGCAGGCCUAACACAUGCAAGUCGAGCGGUAGCACAGGGAGCUUGCUCCUGGGUGACGAGCGGCGGACGGGUGAGUAAUGUCUGGGAAACUGCCUGAUGGAGGGGGAUAACUACUGGAAACGGUAGCUAAUACCGCAUAAYGUCUWCGGACCAAAGUGGGGGACCUUCGGGCCUCAUGCCAUCAGAUGUGCCCAGAUGGGAUUAGCUAGUAGGUGGGGUAAUGGCUCACCUAGGCGACGAUCCCUAGCUGGUCUGAGAGGAUGACCAGCCACACUGGAACUGAGACACGGUCCAGACUCCUACGGGAGGCAGCAGUGGGGAAUAUUGCACAAUGGGCGMAAGCCUGAUGCAGCCAUGCCGCGUGUGUGAAGAAGGCCUUCGGGUUGUAAAGCACUUUCAGCGAGGAGGAAGGGUUCAGUGUUAAUAGCACUGUGCAUUGACGUUACUCGCAGAAGAAGCACCGGCUAACUCCGUGCCAGCAGCCGCGGUAAUACGGAGGGUGCAAGCGUUAAUCGGAAUUACUGGGCGUAAAGCGCACGCAGGCGGUUUGUUAAGUCAGAUGUGAAAUCCCCGCGCUUAACGUGGGAACUGCAUUUGAAACUGGCAAGCUAGAGUCUUGUAGAGGGGGGUAGAAUUCCAGGUGUAGCGGUGAAAUGCGUAGAGAUCUGGAGGAAUACCGGUGGCGAAGGCGGCCCCC